UACGGGGGGAGCAAGCGUUGUUCGGAUUUACUGGGCGUAAAGGGCGCGUAGGCGGCGUGACAAGUCACUUGUGAAAUCUCCGGGCUUAACUCGGAGCGGCCAAGUGAUACUGUCGUGCUAGAGUGCGGAAGGGGCUACUGGAAUUCUCGGUGUAGCGGUGAAAUGCGUAGAUAUCGAGAGGAACACCUGCGGCGAAGGCGGCUUACUGGUCCGGUUCUGACGCUGAGGCGCGAAAGCGUGGGGAGCAAACAGG
rnacentral:rRNA from 1 species